rnacentral:rRNA from 1 species
UACAGGGGGUGCAAACGUUGCUCGGAAUUAUUGGGCGUAAAGCGCGCGUAGGCGGCUACUUAAGUCGGAUGUGAAAGCCCUUGGCUCAACUGAGGAAGUGCACCCGAAACUGAGUGGCUUGAGUACUAAAGAGGGUCGCGGAAUUCCCGGUGUAGAGGUGAAAUGCGUAGAGAUCGGGAGGAACAUCAGUUGCGAAGGCGGCUCUCUGGACCAGCACUGACACUGAGGCACGAAAGCGUGGGGAGCAAACAGG